rnacentral:rRNA from 1 species
CCUACGGGAGGCAGCAGUAGGGAAUAUUGGACAAUGGGGGCAACCCUGAUCCAGCAAUGCCGCGUGAGUGAUGAAGGCCUUAGGGUUGUAAAGCUCUUUUACCAGAGAUGAUAAUGACAGUAUCUGGGGAAUAAGCCCCGGCUAACUCCGUGCCAGCAGCCGCGGUAAUA